GAUGAACGCUGGCGGCGUGCCUAAUACAUGCAAGUCGAGCGAACGGACGAGAAGCUUGCUUCUCUGAUGUUAGCGGCGGACGGGUGAGUAACACGUGGAUAACCUACCUAUAAGACUGGGAUAACUUCGGGAAACCGGAGCUAAUACCGGAUAAUAUUUUGAACCGCAUGGUUCAAAAGUGAAAGACGGUCUUGCUGUCACUUAUAGAUGGAUCCGCGCUGCAUUAGCUAGUUGGUAAGGCAACGGCUUACCAAGGCAACGAUGCAUAGCCGACCUGAGAGGGUGAUCGGCCACACUGGAACUGAGACACGGUCCAGACUCCUACGGGAGGCAGCAGUAGGGAAUCUUCCGCAAUGGGCGAAAGCCUGACGGAGCAACGCCGCGUGAGUGAUGAAGGUCUUCGGAUCGUAAAACUCUGUUAUUAGGGAAGAACAUAUGUGUAAGUAACUGUGCACAUCUUGACGGUACCGAAUCAGAAAGCCACGGCUAACUACGU
rnacentral:rRNA from 1 species